rnacentral:tRNA from 13 species
GCCCGGAUAGCUCAGUCGGUAGGGCGUUAGGCUUUUAACCUAACGGUCCAGGGUGCCAAUCCCUGUUCGGUCA